GGAUAAUUAACUCAGUUGGUAGAGUGUCGUCUUGACGUGGCGAAAGUCAGGGGUUCGAGUCCCUUAUUAUCCACCA
rnacentral:tRNA from 1 species